GUUUCUUCAUGGAAAGCGUUUCCUCCAUGUAGCAGGUGAGCUGUAUACAGAAUAACAUGGAGAUGAAAGAAAAGCAGAUAGACUAACAAGGGAGUAGUUUUAGUAUUUCUAUUAUAUAACUCAAACCUCUAUGUAAUCCAGUUUAGCUGCCCCACUAAUUAAUGUGAAUUAAUAAGUCUCAUAAUUAUGUUUAUUCACCAGGUUCUUUCUACAUAAUUAUUGUUAUACACUUUAAUAAAUUGCUUAGGAAGGCCACCUCCAAAUCCAAAUUAAGUGUAAUGUUUCGUUUCCUAUUUUCUUCCCAGGGGCACAUGAUUAUGUUGGAAAAAGCUUUGACCUGAUAAUUAAGUUCCGUAUCUUGCUCUCCCUCCUCGAGAAGACUUAGAUCUCUGCUCUCUCUUUAAAACAUUACAUACUUAUAGGCUUUGCCUAUCCAACGGAAGGACUCUUCUAGGCUAUCACUCUUCAAGGAAGGACUUGAUGUCAAGACAUGAAGAGUAUGGUCUGAAAACAGUCUUAAGCUGACAGCUUUUCCAUGAUCUGCUUCUGUUGCAGAGCCUCACUGGUUGAGAA
rnacentral:lncRNA from 1 species